GACGAACCGAGCGAACGUUAUUCGGAAUCACUGGGCUUAAAGGGCGCGUAGGCGGGCCGUCAAGUCGAGGGUGAAAUCCCCAGCUCAACUGGGAAGUGCCUCCGAUACUGGCGGCCUCGAGGGGAUAGGGGCAUGCGGAACUUCCGGUGGAGCGGUGAAAUGCGUAGAUAUCGGAAGGAACACCGGUGGCGAAAGCGGCGAUGCUGGACUCCCUUCUGACGCUGAGGCGCGAAAGCCAGGG
rnacentral:rRNA from 1 species